rnacentral:rRNA from 1 species
UUUGAUCUUAGUGGCGGACGGGCGAGUAACGCGUGAGUAACCUGCCUUUCAGAGGGGGACAACAGUUGGAAACGACUGCUAAUACCGCAUAACGUCAUCGGGGGGCAUCCUCUGGUGACCAAAGAUUUAUCGCUGAAAGAUGGACUCGCGUCCGAUUAGCUAGAUGGUGGGGUAACGGCCUACCAUGGCGACGAUCGGUAGCCGAACUGAGAGGUUGAUCGGCCGCAUUGGGACUGAGACACGGCCCAGACUCCUACGGGAGGCAGCAGUGGGGGAUAUUGCACAAUGGAGGAAACUCUGAUGCUGCAACGCCGCGUGAGGGAAGACGGUCUUCGGAUUGUAAACCUAAGUUAUCAGGGACGAUUAUGACGGUACCUGAAGAGAAAGCUCCGGCUAACUACGUGCCAGCACCCGCGGUAAUACGUAGGGAGCGAGCGUUGUCCGGAUUUACUGGGUGUAAAGGGUGCGUAGGCGGGCUGGCAAGUCAGGCGUGAAAUCCCGGGGGCUUAACUCCGGGGCUGCGCUUGAAACUGUCGGUCUUGAGUGAGGUAGAGGCAAGCGGAAUUCCUAGUGUAGCGGUGAAAUGCGUAGAUAUUAGGAGGAACACCAGUGGCGAAGGCGGCUUGCUGGGCCUUAACUGACGCUGAGGCACGAAAGCGUGGGGAGCAAACAGGAUUAGAUACCCUGGUAGUCCACGCUGUAAACGAUGAUUGCUAGGUGUGGGGGGUCGACUCCCUCCGUGCCGGAGUAAACGCAAUAAGCAAUCCACCUGGGGAGUACGACCGCAAGGUUGAAACUCAAAGGAAUUGACGGGGGCCCGCACAAGCAGUGGAGUAUGUGGUUUAAUUCGAAGCAACGCGAAGAACCUUACCAGGUCUUGACAUCCAACUAACGAGGUAGAGAUACGUUAGGUGCCCUUCGGGGAAAGUUGAGACAGGUGGUGCAUGGUUGUCGUCAGCUCGUGUCGUGAGAUGUUGGGUUAAGUCCCGCAACGAGCGCAACCCUUGUCACUAGUUGCUACGCAAGAGCACUCUAGUGAGACUGCCGUUGACAAAACGGAGGAAGGUGGGGACGACGUCAAAUCAUCAUGCCCCUUAUGACCUGGGCUACACACGUACUACAAUGGCAUUCAACAGAGGGAAGCAAUCCCGCGAGGAGGAGCAAACCCCUAAAAACGGUCCCAGUUCAGAUUGUAGGCUGCAACUCGCCUAUAUGAAGUUGGAAUUAAUAGUAAUCGCGGAUCAGCAUGCCGCGGUGAAU